rnacentral:rRNA from 1 species
UCGAGGAUCUUCGUCAAUGGGCGAAAGCCUGAACGAGCGACGCCGCGUGCGCGAUGAAGGCCUUCGGGUUGUAAAGCGCGAAAGAUGGGACGAAAGCCGAAAGGUUUGACCGAUCAUCAGUAAGCUCGGGCUAAGUUCGUGCCAGCAGCCGCGGUAAGACGAACCGAGCAAACGUUAUUCGGAAUCACUGGGCUUAAAGGGCGCGUAGGCGGGCAUUCAAGUCUGUGGUGAAAUCCGGCAGCUUAACUGUCGAACUGCCGUGGAUACUGGGUGUCUCGAGGGAGGUAGGGGCGUGCGGAACUAUUGGUGGAGCGGUGAAAUGCGUUGAUAUCAAUAGGAACUCCGGUGGCGAAGGCGGCACGCUGGACCUCUUCUGACGCUGAGGCGCGAAAGCCAGGGGAGCAAACGGGAUUAGAUACCCCCGUAGUCC